GCUGUGAUUCUUCUGCAUGAUUCGGCUCCCCACCCACUUCAUGUCUCCGGAGUAUACUGCACAUAGGCCCUCCAUUCCACUGGCAUUCCUGAGCAGUGACGUUCUGGUGGAGUCACAAGGGAGAAGAUUCAGAGCGUCGGAGAGGAGGAUGUUCUCCUCUACUUUGGAGUCAAGAGGAGCAGCAGCUAUCCAGAUGGUUUGGAGGUCAGUGGGGAAAAAAGUGGAGGGAACUUAGUUGGCUGCCUUUGUUCUUAGUAAAGAGUCAAAGCUAUUGACCAAGAGUGUGGAAGGCUGGAUGGAAAUAUUAGUAUUGAAGAAAACGGGUGUUAGAAAUAUUGUAAAGAACAAAUUAGCACAUCCAAAAGAAAUUGAAUAAUAUGGUUAUAAAUCAGCAGCGAGGGCCUAGAUAAGGUAGCCAGUUGGAAUGAAAUCAGCAUAAUUUCAUCAUUUUUGCCAAAAGUCCAAAUUUAAGGGAAACCAAUUAUAGGGCAAUUGCAAGCUUUGAGGCAUCAUGGGAGUGGUUCACCAGGGUCCAGACUAGAUGAAGUUGAGGCCAGAAGAGGCUCUAGACCUCCAGACUAGGACAAAUAUUAGUUUAGCAAACUAGAGAGAAGGAGAAAGAAUGAUGACAAAUCAUUGGUAAAGCAGGGAUCUUGAAAUAGAAAAGCUCCAGCUGAUGACAUGACCCCUGGUGUGGCCAUCCUUGGCACUAGCAGUUCUCAAAUUGUGCAUCAGAAUCACAUGGAAGCCUUGUUAAAGCAUAUUGCUGGCCCCACCUGCAGAGAUUCUGAUCCAGCAUGUCUGGAGUGGGUAUGAGAUGUGCAUUUCUAACAAGUUUUUGGUGAUGCUGAUGCUACUGGUCCAAGGACCAUGCUUUGAGGGCUGCUGCUUUGCUGUGAGAAAUAGAAAGGAGAUGAAGAUGGUGGUGACGAAGCUGGGAUCUGACAGGCCAAGUUCAUCAGUCAUCAACAAAAACUUAGCGUACUGAAAGGUGCUCAAGGCUUUGAGCGUCAGAAGACUACAUCAAGGAGAGUAGGGGGUUGCAGAGAAGAAGGGCUCACAUGCAGUGGCUGCAGGAUCAUGCUCUGCAAGGGGGUUGAGAACAAGUGUGACCUUCUACAAAUUGGGGCCAGGGAAGAGGAAACAGUUUCUUGGGGAAACGAUUUUGAGACAUAUUUAUAAUUAAGGGAAAGCCACAUUCCCAUUUGGACAGUGAGGUACAAAGAAUGCUGGUA
rnacentral:lncRNA from 12 species